CGGGACGGGUGAGUAAUGUCUGGGAAACUGCCCGAUGGAGGGGGAUAACUACUGGAAACGGUAGCUAAUACCGCAUAACGUCGCAAGACCAAAGAGGGGGACCUUAGGGCCUCUUGCCAUCGGAUGUGCCCAGAUGGGAUUAGCUAGUAGGUGGGGUAAUGGCUCACCUAGGCGACGAUCCCUAGCUGGUCUGAGAGGAUGACCAGCCACACUGGGACUGAGACACGGUCCAG
rnacentral:rRNA from 1 species